UUAAGUAUGACCACACAUUAAUAACUCUAUUGAUUGGUAGUACUAGUAUUUUAUCUUUUUAAGAGACACGUAUCCAACUUUAGUAGUAAUAUUAAAACCCCCCUCACAAAGAAAAAUCUACAAUCUUUCUCAUUCUCUCUUGUCAAGAUCUUGUUGAGAGAUGCUGAAGAACUAAGCUAUUAUCAUCUUCUUCACAAGAGAGUCAACACAAGGCAUCCAAAGCCAAGGAUAAGAUUUCAAGAUCAUGAGCACUUGGGAGGCCGAAACUGAUUCAUUCACACUUGAUCCAUUUUUUGUUGGAAAAUAUGAUGUGGUGGAGGAGGAGAAGGUAGUCGUAAUUGUCGGAAUGGGCGGCGUUGGAAAUAUAGCUUUAACUAGGAAAGUUUUUCAAUUGAAAACCAAAGAUGAAGGCUGAAUUUUUUUUUAUUUAAAACGAUUCCAUGAUCAUUUUUCAUAAAAUUCUUACAAGAAGAUUUGAAAGAUAAAAAUUAUCUUCUUGUACUUGAUGAUGUUUGGAAUCAAUAUAUUACAAAAAUGUAUAAGUUAUUUCCACUAAGGGAAGUAAUAUUAUAAUUAUUUAGGAAUAGGAAUGAGAUUGCCUUAGUUCCUAGCUUAUCUAGCCUUGUCCAUAAUCAAAGCAAAAACUUUUCGACAUGAACUAUUAUAUCAAAAUUUAAAAAUAUUGGAAGAAUAAUAAUAGCAUAAAGAUGUAGGUUUUGCCCUCAGUGAAAAUUGGGUUUCACAUGGUGGAGGAGGUGAAAAUAUCUCAAAAAUAUUGAAAUUAGGCCUUUUGAUCAUUUGCCUCCACCAAGUGCUUUUUGUAUUGUUUGAUUUUCCCAAUUAUGAGAAAAUGGAGAAGGGAGAUAAGUGUUGGCAAAUUGAGGAAUGACAUACUGCAAAAGGUCAAUUAAACCAUCUCAAUGCUCUUUCUUGGUUCAUCUCGUCAUGAGUUUGCAAAUGAAUUGAACAGAUAGGCAUUGAUGCCCUCGUACUCAUCCUCAGCCGCGUCUAGCACUCUUGCUCCGGUUGAAGUCCUAUUGCCUAGUGAGCUGAUUACUCGAGGUCGAACUGAGGCGUUGAAGCUUGCCUUCCGAGUUUUUUUGCGAAGGAGACAGUGAGCUAUACUUCCUUAUGCAAUAGAAGAAACCAUUAGUCCAAGAGUUGUCCAUUUGAUUUAUUGGAGAGACAUGGAAAAGGAGAGUCCAAGUAAUUGAUGAAUUUUGUACUAGUUAGAAUACAAGUGUCUACUUAUCUCCUUGAGAAGACCUUUCGUUUUGUUAUUUUAUCAGCUUUCUCUUGAUCAA